CCACGGCCUAUUUUUGGCACACGGAGGCCCCUCGCAAAGUCUCGCGACAUUUCGAGUCCGGCGGACAAAGUCCGCCAGCCCCAUCCCCCAAGGCUAUAGCCCACCCGUUUUUGUGGCCUUUUUCCGCUGGACGAACUUGGCGCCCCGGCCUUCGGGCGGUUAUUAUUGGUCAUGGCUGUGCCCGCGGCCUAUUUUUGGCAAUCAGAGGCGCCUCGCAAAGUCUCGCGCCAUUCCGAGUCCGCCGGAGGAAGUUGGCCAGCCCCACCCCCCAAGGCUAUAGCCCACCCGUUUUUGUGGCCUUUUUCCGCUGGACGAACUUGGCGCCCCGGCCUUCGGGCGGUUAUUUUUGAGUGCAGCUGUGCCCGCGGCCUAUUUUUGGCAUACAGAGGCGCCUCACAAAGUCUCACGGCUUUCGGAGUCCGGCGGACGAAGCUGGCCAGCCCCACCCCCCAAGGCUAUAGCCGACCCGUUUUUGUGGCCUUUUUCCGCUGGACGAACUUGGCGCCCCGGCCUUUGGGCGGUUAUUUUUGGGCGCGGCUUUGCCCGCGGCCUAUUUUUGGCAUACAGAGGCCCCUCACAAAGUCUCGCGGCAUUCCGAGUCCGGCGGACGAAGUCGGCCAGCCCCACCCCCCAAGGCUAUAGCCCAGCCGUUUUUGUGGCCUUUUUCCGCUGGACGAACUUGGCGCCCCGGCCUUUGGGCCGUUAUUUUUGGGAGCGGCUUUGCCUGCAGCCUAGUUUUGGCACACGGAGGCCCCUCGCAAAGUCUCGCACCAUUCCGAGUCCGGCGGACGAAGUGGGCCAGCCCCACCCCCCAAGGCUAUAGCCCACCCGUUUUUGUGGCCUUUUUCUGCUGGACGAACUUGGUACCCCGGCCUUCGGGCGGUUAUUUUUGGGGGCGCCUUUGCCCGCGGCCUAUUUUUGGCACACGGAGGCCCCUCGCAAAGUCUCACGGCAUUCCGAGUCCGGCGGACGAAGUAGGCCUGUCCCACCCCCCAAGGCUAUAGCCCACACGUUUUUGUGGCCUUUUUCCGAUGGACGAAGCUGGCCAGCCCCACCCCCCAAGGCUAUAGCCCACCCGUUUUUGUGGCCUUUUUCCGCUGGACGAACUUGGCGCCCCGGCCUUCGGGCGGUUAUUUCUGGGCGCGCCUUUGCCCGCGGCCUAUUUUUGGUACACGGAGGCCCCUUGCAAAGUCUCACGGCAUUCCGAGUCCGGCGGACGAAGUAGGCCGGUCCCACCCCCCAAGGCUAUAGCCCACCCGUUUUUGUGGCCUUUUUCCGAUGGACGAACUUGGCAUCCCCGGCCAUCAGGCAGUUUUUUUUGGGCGCGGCUUUGUCCGCGGCCUAUUUUUGGUACACGGAGGCCCCUCGCAAAGUCUUGCCGCAUUCCGAGUCCGGCGGACGAAUUUGGCCAGCCCCACCCCCCAAGGCUAUACCCCACCCGUUUUUGUGGCCUUUUUCCGCUGCACGAACUUGGCGCCCCGGCCUUCGGGCGGUUAUUUUUGUGCGCGCCUUUGCUCGCGGCCUAUUCUUGGCACAUGGAGGUCCCUCGCAAAGUNNNNNNNNNNNNNNNNNNNNNNNNNNNNNNNNNNNNNNNNNNNNNNNNNNNNNNNNNNNNNNNNNNNNNNNNNNNNNNNNNNNNNNNNNNNNNNNNNNNNGCAUUCCGAGUCCGGCGGACGAAGUUGGCCAGCCCCACCCCCCAAGGCUAUAGCCCACGCGUUUUUGUGGCUUUUUUCCGCUGGACGAACUUGGCACCCCGGCCUUCGGCCUGUUAUUUUUGGGCGCGGCUUUGUCCGCAGCCUAUUUUUGGCACACGGAGGCCCCUCGCAAAGUCUCGCGGCAUUCCGAGUCCGGCAGACGAAGUCGGCCAGCCCCACCCCCCAAGGCUAUAGCCCACCCGUUUUUGUGGCAUUUUUCCGCAGGACGAACUUGGCGCCCCGGCCUUCGGGCAGUUAUUUUUGGGCACGGCUUUGUCCGCGGCCUAUUUUUAGCACACGGAGGCCCCUCGCAAAGUCUCGCGGCAUUCCGAGUCCGGCGGACAAAGUCGGCCUGCGCCACCCCCCAAGGCUAUAGCCCACACGUUUUUGUGGCCUUUUUCCGCUGCACGAACUUGGCGUCCCGGCCUUCGGGUGGUUAUUUUUGGGCGCGCCUUUGCUCGCAGCCUAUUUUUGGCACACGGAGACCCCUCGCAAAGUCUCGCGGCAUUCCGAGUCCUGCGGACGAAGUUGGCAAGCCCCACCCCCCAAGGCUAUAGCCCACCCGUUUUUGUGGCCUUUUUCUGCUGGACGAACUUGGCGCCCCGGCCUUCUGGCGGUUAUUUUUGGGCGCGGCUUUGUCCGCGGCCUAUUUUUGGCACACGGAGGCCCCUCGCAAAGUCUCGCGGCAUUCCGAGUCCGGCAGACGAAGUCGGCCAGCCCCACCCCCUAAGGCUAUAGCCCACCCGUUUUUGUGGCCUUUUUCCGCUGGACGAACUUGGCGCCCCGGCCUUCGGGCGGUUAUUUUGGGGCGCGGCUGUGCCCGCGACCUAUUUUUGGUACACGGAGGCACCUCGUAAAGUCUCGCGCCAUUCCGAGUCCGGCGGACGAAGUUGGCCAGCCCCACCCCCCAAGGCUAUAGCCCACCCGUUUUUGUUGCUUUUUUCCGCUCGACGAACUUGGUGCCCCGGCAUUCGGGCGGUUAUUUUUGGGCGCGGCUGUGUCCGCGGCCUAUAUUUGGCACACAGAGGCGCCUCGUAAAGUCUCACGCCAUUCCCAGUCCGGCGGACGAAGUUGGCCAGCCCCAGCCCCCAAGGCUAUAGCCCACCCGUUUUUGUAGCCUUUUUCCGCUGGACGAACUUGGCGCCCCGGUCUUCGGGCAUUUAUGUUUGGACGCGGCUGUGCCCGCCGCCUAUUUUUGGUACACGGAGGUGCCCCGUAAAGUGUCGCGCCAUCCCGAGUCCAGCGGACGAAGUUGGCCAGCCCCACCCCCCAAGGCUAUAGCCCAACCGUUUUUGUGGCCUUUUUCCGCUGGACGAACUUGGCGCCCCGGCCUUCGGUCGGUUAUUUUUGGGCACGGCUGUGUCCGCGGCCUAUUUUUGGCAGACGGAGGUGCCUCGUAAUGUCUCGCGCCAUUCCGAGUCCGGCGGACGAAGUUGGCCAGCCCCACCCCCCAAGGCUAUAGCCACCCGUUUUUGUGGGCUUUUUCCGCUGGACGAACUUGGCGCCCCGAGCUUUGGGUGGUUAUUUUUGGGUACGG
rnacentral:lncRNA from 1 species